rnacentral:misc_RNA from 1 species
GCGCUUGCCACCUGAGGAGGAAUUCCUAAUUCAAGGAAAAGAGGUCCCAAGAUGAAGCCACCUCCUAGCCCAAGAAGUCCACCCACCAUGCCAGCCACUAUUAAAGCAAAAUCUGAAGAAACUUCCAGUUUGUGACUUCCUUUCCUUUGGAAGCUAUCACCCUGGUCCCUUUGCGCAAGCAUAUGGCUUCAAAAAGUGUAACUGAGGCAGCAAUUGGUACCUGCAAUGCGUUCAGAACCCAGUACGUGAUGGAGCACGUUUUAACGUAUGACUUAACGAUUUGAACUGCCAGAAAGCCCACCCAUACAUACACUAGCAGGGCUAACUCUUUCCAGUAAAUAUUUUGCAAUAGGGAGACCUCCUCGUCAUCAUUUGUCAGUGCAGCUGGUCCGCUUGGCAGGGGCUUGUAAUCUUGUCCCUCACCAUCACCUGGUUUGGACUCUGAUUCCAAUUGCUUGGCUGCUUCCUU